GAUGAACGCUGGCGGCGUGCUUAACACAUGCAAGUCGAGCGAGAAGUCUUGAACAGAUUCUUCGGAUGAAAUUUAAAAUGGAAAGCGGCGGAGGGGUGAGUAACGCGCAGGCAACCUGCCCCAUACUAAGGGAUAGCUUUUGGAAACGAAUAUUAAUACCUUAUCAAACUUAACUAGUGCAUGCUAGGUAGGUCAAAGAUUUAUCGGGGUGGGAUGGGCUUGCGUCUGAUUAGCUAGUUGGGGAGGUAACGGCUCACCAAGGCGACGAUCAGUAGCCGACCUGGGAGGCUGAACAGCCACGUUGUGACUGAGGCACGAUCCAAACUCCUGCGGCAGGCGGCGGGAAUAAAGAAUACAGAAUGAGGGAAACCCUGAUGCAGCAACGGCGCGUGAACGCUGAAGGCCGUUGGGUCGUAUAGUUCUGUACUAGGGGAUGAAAACUGACAGUAACCUAGGAGAAAGCCCCGGCUAACUCCGUG
rnacentral:rRNA from 1 species